rfam:Salmo salar isolate Sally breed double haploid chromosome ssa04, whole genome shotgun sequence.
UAUCCACACUACUGUAAGUCGCUCUGGAUAAGAGCUUCUGCUAAAUGUUGAAUU